AGUGAACGCUGGCGGUAGGCCUAACACAUGCAAGUCGAACGGCAGCACAGUAAGAGCUUGCUCUUACGGGUGGCGAGUGGCGGACGGGUGAGGAAUACAUCGGAAUCUACUUUUUCGUGGGGGAUAACGUAGGGAAACUUACGCUAAUACCGCAUACGACCUACGGGUGAAAGCAGGGGAUCUUCGGACCUUGGGCGAUUGAAUGAGCCGAUGUCGGAUUAGCUAGUUGGCGGGGUAAAGGCCCACCAAGGCGACGAUCCGCAGCUGGUCUGAGAGGAAGAGCACCAACUCCGGGAGGGAGACACGGUGGAGAAUCUUGGGGGAUGGAGCAGAGGGUGAUCCUAGCCAACCGGGGCGGGUAAGAACGAGCUCUGGCUGGUGAGCCAUUUUGUUGUUAAAGAAGAGAAGCACGUUAAUAUGCCGCGGUUCUGACGGUACCCAAAGAAGAAGCACCGGCUAACUUCGUG
rnacentral:rRNA from 1 species